rnacentral:rRNA from 1 species
GUUCGUAGGUGACUGCGGAGGAUCAUUAGUGAUUGACCUUCGGGUCUUAAUAACUAUAAUCUUCUACCUCUGUGAACCGUUGGUCUUCGGACCGAUUCUUAUAACAAACAUCUGUGUAAUGAACGUAACCUAUAUUAAUCAUAUAAAACUUUUAACAACGGAUCUCUUGGCUCUCGCAUCGAUGAAGAACGCAGCGAAAUGCGAUAAGUAAUGUGAAUUGCAGAAUUCAGUGAAUCAUCGAAUCUUUGAACGCACCUUGCGCCUUUUGGUAUUCCGAAAGGCAUGCCUGUUUGAGUGUCAUGAAAUAUCAACCCCUCCUGGUUUCUGAUCAGUGUUGGGCUUGGACUUGGGUGUCUGCCAGGACUUGUCCUGGCUCGCCUUAAAUGACUUAGUGGGAAUAGCAUCCACGGCUAAGACGUAAUAAGUUUCGUCUGGUCAAGGUGUGAAGCCUGCUCAUAACCCGACCGCAAGGUCACUAUUUAUGCUCUGACCUCAAAUCAGGUAGGACUACCCGCUGAACUUAAGCAUAUCAAUAAGCGGAGGAAAAGAAACUAACAAGGAUUCCCCUAGUAACGGCGAGCGAACAGGGAAGAGCUCAAAUUUGAAAUCUGGCGUCCUCCGGGCGUCCGAGUUGUAAUCUAUAGAGACGUUUUCCGUGCCGGACCGUGUCCAAGUUCCUUGGAACAGGAUAUCAAAGAGGGUGACAAUCCCGUACUUGACACGACGACCGGUGCUCUGUGAUACGUUUUCUACGAGUCGAGUUGUUUGGGAAUGCAGCUCAAAAUGGGUGGUGAGUUCCAUCUAAAGCUAAAUAUUGGCGAGAGACCGAUAGCGAACAAGUACCGUGAGGGAAAGAUGAAAAGCACUUUGGAAAGAGAGUUAAACAGUACGUGAAAUUGUUAAAAGGGAAACGAUUGAAGUCAGUCGUGUCUGGGAGGCUCAGCCGGUUCUGCCGGUGUAUUCCUCUCAGACGGGUCAACAUCAGUUUUGUCCGACGGAUAAUGGCGGCAGGAAAGUAGCACCCUCGGGUGUGUUAUAGCCUGUUGUCGCAUACGCCGGAUGAGACUGAGGAAUGCAGCUCGCCUUUAUGGCCGGGGUUCGCCCACGUUCGAGCUUAAGA